rnacentral:rRNA from 1 species
AGCAGCCGCGGUAAUUCCAGCUCCAAUAGCGUAUAUUAAAGUUGUUGCAGUUAAAAAGCUCGUAGUUGAAUUUCGGGGUCAGUAAGUUGGUCGUGCCACUGGUAUGUACUGGCUUUACUGAUUCCUCCUUCUUGUAGAACCGUAAUGCCAUUAAGUUGGUGUUGCGGGGAAAACCAGGACUGCUACUUUGAAAAAAGUUAGAGUGUUUAAAGCAAGCUAACGCUUGAAUACAUUAGCAUGGAAUAAUGAAAUAGGACGAACGAUCCUAUUUUUGUUGGUUUUCUAGGAUUGACGUAAUGAUUAAUAGGGAUAGUUGGGGGGCAUUAGUAUUCAAUUGUCAGAGGUGAAAUUCUUGGAUUUAUUGAAGACUAACUACUGCGAAAGCAUUUGCCAAGGAUGUUUUCAUUAAUCAAGAACGAAAGUUAGGGGAUCGAAGACGAUCAGAUACCGUCGUAGUCUUAACCAUAAACUAUGCCGACUAGGGAUCGGAUGAUGUUAAUUUUUUUCAAUGACUCAUUCG